GAGGGGUGCUUGUGUGAAUCUAUGUAUGUCUCUAUACAUGUGUGUGUGUGUGUGUGUGUGUGUGUGUGUGUGUGUGUGUGUGUGUGUGUGUGUGUGUGUGUGUGUGUGUGUGUGUGUGUGUGUGUGUGUGUGUGUAUUUGUGUGUGUGCGUGAGUGUGUGUGCGCCAGGGGCAGGCCACAGCUGUUAACCUGAAUCCCUCUCUUUCUCUCUCCUUAACAUCCCCUCCUCUCUCACCUGGCUCCCAAGGCCUCCUGGCUGCUGAUGCUGCUGCUGCUGCCCAGCUGUGUGUGGCCUGCCUGGGCCAGCCUGGCCUCUGAUUACUGGCCAUCUGCAGCAGCAGGAGCCACCCUGAGGACAGACAGAUCUCUAACCCCUGCCUAAAGGCCAGCUCAUCUCUGUGGCUGAGCUUUCCUGUCUCCCUUUCUCUCCUCUCCCUACUUUUUCUCUCUUCUUUUUUUCUCCAUUGCUGUGUCUCUUCUCUUCUUUGCUGUCACACACAGGUCUGAACCCUGGUGAUGAAGAGAGGGGAGGGGAGAGAGGGAGAUGGAGAGGGGGUUACUGAAAGGUGUCACAUGCGCUGAUGUGAUAAGGGUGCCAGGUAGAGAUAACCAAGCAUCCUUCGUCACUAUGGAGCCAAGUACAGCCUGUCCUCUUGAGUUAAAACAGGAACACUCGCACACAAGUGCACACACACACACACACAGUCACACACACACACACACACACACACACACACACACACACGCAAACAAUCUACAAGUUCAUUAUCCAUCUGUGGAAUGAUAAGAGCUAGAUUUCUUAUAAUAGCCAUGCUAUUGAGCUCUGGAUACUACUUCACCGUAGUAAAAACAGGAACCAGGGAGAAUACAUAACUUAACCAAUCAGAAUGGAUGCCUGAACUUAAUUAACCCUAUCCUAAACCUUACUCCUUAACUUAACCAAUCGCAGUUAAUGCCUGUACUGAUAACCAAUCGGAAAUGAAUGCCUGAACUUGACCCUUUCUGUUAUAACCCUAUCCCAAACCUUAACCCAGUCAGAGUGAAUGCCUGAACCGUAGAGGUGUUUCUGUGAGCCUAAAUCGUCUGGAGCUCAUGUGGGAGGGGAGCUGUGUGUCUAAAUACAGGACGUCGGGAGAGGAAGUCAGUUUACUAGUCAAAAAUAGACGUUUGUCCAAGGACGUCAAGACCCGAGACUGUGAGAUCUUGUUGACACUGAAACUCGAUGUACUAGUGGUGACUAACGUGUCAACAUGAUCCCACCUGCUCAGCGGUGAGAUCGUUAUGGUGGGAACGGGCGGUGCCAGAUUACUGUGACCUGCAGCCCCCCUCCAGAUGGACACUCUCCCAGCUGGCUAACUCCUUUUAAGGAGCUUCAUUAUUACCAUGCCGCUCUUUGUAUAGUCUCAGAUGAGACCGGUGACGGAACGUCUGCAUGGUGACCGACCGCGGUGCUGCAUGGUGACCGACCGCGGUGCUGCAUGGUGACCGACUGCGGUGCUGCAUGGUGACCGACCGCGGUGCUGCAUGGUGACUGACUGCGGUGCUGCAUGGUGACCGACCGCGGUGCUGCAUGGUGACCGACCGCGGUGCGGCAUGGUGACCGACCGCGGUGCUGCAUGGUCCAACGGUAGCAGACCUCCUCAGAGGAGCGGUCUACAGUGUGAGCGCAUGCAGUGCAGGCACAGCGAGCACCAGGAAGUCGACGUGUGAUGUGUGAGAUUUAUUGGUGUGCCUACCCUCCACUCUUAAUAAUGUUUUAUAGCCAUUCUCUGGUUUGGCGGUCAUGGGUAAUCCACUACCAUAGACUGUCGUCAUGACCGGGGGAAGCUGACUGGUUGGAAAGCGAGAAAGAGAAAUUACAUCAUGGAACAGGACUGGUUGGAAAGCAACACACUGUCAUGUGUUUCUCUGAAGAUCACACGUUUAUCAAAGCCCAUUGAAACGGAGAGCACCGUAUGGGCUAUAAUAGUCUAUAGUGUGGUGUAGUGGGUCGCUAUUUAAAGCCUUGUUGUAAUUCCUAAUUGUGUUAUGUUGUAAAAUGUCUUCAUGCUGAAGCCAUCAAACUAAGGCUCCCUCCCCUACCCUCUCCCCCCAUCCAGUAAGUCCCCUGCCCUGCAAUAUAGUUACUACUAAACUCUAGACAUGUUAUGGUACAGUGCUCUAUUUGAAUGUAUCCCACCCAGACCUCAGGCGGUGGGAUAGUUCAUGCUGUGCUAGUAGACAUCUCUGCAUCGGUGGAUACUGCAGAUACACACAGGAGAUGUUCCAAGUCACGUGGCUCCUUUAUUUGUAAAGGAGUGUGUACGACCGGUGCCCAAGUACUGCUUUACAUAUGGGAUAACUGGCA
ensembl:lncRNA